UCCUUGGUAGUCCAGUGGCUAAGACUCCACACUCUCAUUGCAGGGGGCCCAGGUUCAAGCCCUGGUCAGGAAA
rnacentral:tRNA from 1 species